CCUACGGGUGGCAGCAGUGGGGAAUAUUGGGCAAUGGGCGCAAGCCUGACCCAGCAACGCCGCGUGAAGGAAGAAGGCUUUCGGGUUGUAAACUUCUUUUGUCAGGGACGAAGCAAGUGACGGUACCUGACGAAUAAGCCACGGCUAACUACGUGCCAGCAGCCGCGGUAAUACGUAGGUGGCAAGCGUUAUCCGGAUUUACUGGGUGGAAAGGGCGUGUAGGCGGGACUGCAAGUCAGAUGUGAAAACCAUCGGCUCAACCUGUGGCCUGCAUUUGAAACUGUAGGUCGUGAGUACUGGGGAGGCAGACGGAAUGCCUAGUGUAGCGGUGAAAUGCGUAGAUAUUAAGAGGAACACCAGUGGCGAAGGCGGUCUGCUGGACAGCAACUGACGCUGAGGCGCGAAAGCGUGGGGAGCAAACAGGAUUAGAUACCCCAGUAGUC
rnacentral:rRNA from 1 species